ensembl:lncRNA
CAGAGGUUUAUCAUUGUGAAGAUGCAUUAUAAAACAUACAAUAAUACUGCUAAAAAUGCUUUUUGGUCAGAGGAUCUUUUGAGACAACAUCAUAGAAAUAUUCUCGCUUAAAUACGAGUUUAAACAGAAUAAUUUCAAUGAUUUCAGUUUGUGUUGAUUUCAUUGGUUGAAUGUAAGCAAAUACUCCUUUAAAUGCAAACUUUCUUAACUUUAACCUCGGAAUAUGAACAUUUUUAAAUCUAUCAAAGUAAAUAUUAACUCAGUUCAGCUGAAAAUGUCAUGCCGGACUACAGAUGGCUGAUCUCAGAUCUUCCUCCGACACCAGUUUUAAUGUGCGCCGUGUCUCUCAGUGCUGUCAGCUGUGUUUGAUGUACCACAGAGCUAUGUUUAAAAUAUUCAGAACCUCUUAUUGCAGUUUUGUGUCUGUCCGAAGGUGAUUUUGAGAUUCUUAAGGUCUAAAUUUGUUCCUGUUUUAAACCACAUUUCCAUUUUUAUCAGGAUUAUGCACCUAGUGGAACUUAAAUCAAGAGCAUAACAUCGUGUUUUUGUCACUGUAUCUUUAAGAUUGUGUAUGUACCAUUAUCUGGUUUUCGGGGCCUUCACUGGUCUCUCUAGCUGCACAUGCUUUUCUGGUUUGAUGGUUUUAAAGGGAUUUUGGGUACAAAACCAAGCUUCACCUGUUAAAACCAGGUCUGGCUGUCAGUCGUAUUGUUGACUAGGGGCCCGGAGUGACACUGGCCCCCUGAAGCGUCCACCUGAUAUAGCAGUGAAAGAUCACAGACAUGGACUUUCAGCCUGGUCCAAACUUGAGAAAACUGUACUAAGCAGAUUUUGAUGGAUGUCCCUGCUGAAAAGACCAGCAUGUUCAAUUUCCAAACCAACGGUAAGUUCAACUGAGGUUCCCAGCAGGAUUGUGCACUUUACAGAACUGAACUGAGAAUGCAUUUUAAAUUGCCCAAUUCAAAAAUUAAUCUGACUUCAUUUCCCAGAAUGCAUCGCCUGUGUUGAAUGUCUUUGAAUUACGAUUUCUCUUCCCGUCAAUUCAAUUAAAUUUCCUGUUUAGUUUGGCCAAUGCAAUUCAAAUCCCAACUCAUGAACUGAAAUACAGCCAAUUCUGAAUUUUACACAACUUUGGUUCCCACACAUUUGUGACCAAUGAAUUUGCACAACUUUUCAAUGUCUUAUUAUUGAUUUCAGGAUAAGGAUAAUUGAAAAAUCAUUUGACAAUGAAACUAAAUAAUUUAAAUAUCUAAUCAAAUAUUUUAGCUGAACACAACAGAAAACAGAAAACACAACAUUUUGUAUAAAUGCUUUUUAAGAUUUUUUUUUCAAGUCUGCAAAACCACAAUUAAAAUUCCCUGAUUUUUCCUUAUUUUUUUAUAACCAUAAAACCCUGUCAAGCCAUACAUUAAGCAUAUUGCAUUCCCAGUGCCAUGCUCUAUCAGUUUAGCUUUAUUAAGCUAGUUACUUGGUCAACAAACUUCAGCAGAAAAGUUCACCAAAUAGACCAGCACGAAACCAGCAUGCUAGUACUGGUGAAGCUGGUCUGGGUUACCAU